rnacentral:rRNA from 1 species
CCAAUAGCGUAUAUUAAAGUUGUUGCAGUUAAAAAGCUCGUAGUUGAAUUUCGGGAUCAAUAUUUCGGUCAUGCCGUUGGUAUGCACUGUUAUCAUUGAUUUCUCACCUUCUAAAGAACCGUAAUGCCAUUAAUUUGGUGUUACGGGGAAUUAGGACUGUUACCUUGAAAAAAUUAGAGUGUUUAAAGCAGGCAUUUUGCUUGAAUACAUUAGCAUGGAAUAAUAAAAUAGGACGGCUUGAUUCUAUUUUGUUGGUUUCUAGGAUCACCGUAAUGAUUAAUAGGGAUAGGUGGGGGCAUUAGUAUUCAAUUGUCAGAGGUGAAAUUCUUGGAUUUAUUGAAGACUAACUACUGCGAAAGCAUUUGCCAAGGAUGUUUUCAUUAAUCAAGAACGAAAGUUAGGGGAUCGAAGACGAUCAGAUACCGUCGUAGUCUUAACCAUAAACUAUGCCGACUAGGAAUCAGACGAUGUUAAUUUUUUAAUGACUCGUUUGGCACCUUACG